AAUUAUCCCAGAGAAUUAUUUAUAUUAAAAACAGGCUGAGCGUAGUUUGAACUGUGACCAUCAAAAAAACUGGAAAAUAAACAUUCACCUUGUCAAGAUCUCUGUCGAACCCCCCUG
ensembl:misc_RNA